AGUGAGGGAUUUUGCGCAAUGGGGGAAACCCUGACACAGCAACGCCGCGUGAGUGAAGAAGGCCUUUGGGUCGUAAAGCUCUGUCAACAAGGAAGAAAUUAUUUGAUAUAAAUAGUAUCAAGUAUUGACGGUACUUGUGGAGGAAGCGCCGGCUAACUCCGUGCCAGCAGCCGCGGUAACACGGGGGGCGCAAGCGUUAUUCGGAAUUAUUGGGCGUAAAGGGCGCGUAGGCGGUUUUGUCGGUCAGAUGUGAAAGCCCGGGGCUCAACCCCGGACGUGCAUUUGAAACAGCAAGACUUGAGUACGGGAGAGGAAAGCGGAAUUCCUGGUGUAGAGGUGAAAUUCGUAGAUAUCAGGAGGAACACCGAUGGCGAAGGCAGCUUUCUGGACCGAUACUGACGCUGAGGCGCGAAGGCGUGGGUAGCGAACAGGAUUAGAUACCCUGGUAGUCCACGCAGUAAACGAUGUACACUAGGUGUGGCGGAUAUUAAAAUCUGCUGUGCCCAAGCUAACGCAUUAAGUGUACCGCCUGGGGAGUACGGUCGCAAGACUA
rnacentral:rRNA from 1 species